rnacentral:misc_RNA from 1 species
CUCUAUACUCUAUAGAACCCUCUUUCCAUUCCUAAGGGAUUCUCUUCUAUUUGUCGCCGCCGCCAUGGCCGGGCUGAGCAGACUUGGAGUAGCCACAGCCACGCCAGCACUCCGCGGCCUUGGAUAUCUUGCUACCUCCCGUGCCUACGGAUCGGCUGCUGCGGUUCAAUACGACUACGAUUACGAAUUCGACAACCAGUACUAUUCGGGGGCAGAAGGAAGCAGAAAUCUGCUCCGGGAUUCGCGGCUUCCGGAGCCAAGGCUAGACUCGGCAGCGGCGUCGGACUGGGGAAGAGGAGUGCAAUGGGUGUUGAUAGGGGACCCGGCAGCUCAAAAGCACGUGUACGCUGAAAAGCUUUCGAAGCUUCUACAAGUUCC